GAUAUUUGACAAUGUGGGCAACCCUGAUCCAGCCAUGCCGCGUGUGUGAAGAAGGUCUUCGGAUUAUCAAGCACUUUAAGUUGGGAGGAAGGGCUUUAGGCGAAUACCCUGAAGUUUUGACGUUACCAACAGAAUAAGCACCGGCUAACUCUGUGCCAGCAGCCGCGGUAAUACAGAGGGUGCAAGCGUUAAACGGAAUUACUGGGCGUAAUACGCGCGUAGGUGGUUCAGUAAGAUGGGUGUGAAAUCCCCGGGCUUAAACUGGGAACUGCUUUCAUAACUGCUGAGCUAGAGUACGGUAGAGGGUAGUGGAAUUUCCUGUGUAGCGGUGAAAUGCGUAGAUAUAGGAAGGAACACCAGUGGCGAAGGCGACUACCUGGACUGAUACUGACACUGAGGUGCGAAAGCGUGGGGAGCAAAC
rnacentral:rRNA from 1 species